rnacentral:rRNA from 1 species
UACAGAGGUCCCGAGCGUUGUUCGGAUUCACUGGGCGUAAAGGGUGCGUAGGUGGUGGGGUAAGUCUGAUGUGAAAUCUCCAGGCUCAACCUGGAAAUGGCAUUGGAAACUACCUUGCUGGAGGGUUGGAGGGGGGACUGGAAUACUUGGUGUAGCAGUGAAAUGCGUAGAUAUCAGGAGGAACACCGAUGGCGAAGGCAGGUCUCUGGGCCACUACUGACGCUGAGAAGCGAAAGCAUGGGGAGCGAACAGG